AUCGCAUCAAUUUGCCUCGCUCACGAAUGCAUCCGGUCACCAAAAGUUCUAGCCGUCGCCGUGUGGCCGAGCGAGGCAAGGGGAGAGAUGUCGUCGCCGAUGCCCCGUGUUCUCGAUGUCGUUCGGGUUCCAAGAAGAAGGCAGAGAGAUUUGGGAGCUCGUGUGGAGGCUUCAACAGUCUUUAAUUCGACGAGAGGAGCUAUGGGCCCAAGGGAAUCGCUGGCCGGAGCUGUGCAGCUGCACCACGCUGCGGGUCGGAUCACCUACUGCACCAUCUCUGAUUUUUUAUCCGGCGAGCACAGCAGCUGUAUAUGCAGUAAAUUCUAAAAUAUAUCAUCCAUGAGACAAGUAUAUAAUGGAGUAUACUUUUAUUUAGUGCA